CUCAAACCCUUUGUCGUCCGACUAUGUUGCCUCGGGGGAGACCCUGCCUUCGGGCGGGUGGCACCCCGGUGGACCAAACCAAACUCUUGCGUAACAUGUCGUCUGAGUCGAUUUAAAAAUAAAUCAAAACUUUCAACAACGGAUCUCUUGGUUCUGGCAUCGAUGAAGAACGCAGCGAAAUGCGAUAAGUAAUGUGAAUUGCAGAAUUCAGUGAAUCAUCGAAUCUUUGAACGCACAUUGCGCCCCGUGGUAUUCCGCGGGGCAUGCCUGUUCGAGCGUCAUUACACCACUCAAGCCUCGCUUGGUAUUGGGCGACGCGGUUUUCCGCGCGCCUCAGAUCUCCCGGCUGGUUCGAAUCGUCCCUCAGCGUUGUGGAAACUAUUCGCUAAAGGUGCGCGCUUCGGUCACGCCGUUAAACAAGCCAACUCAUUAAAGGUUGACCUCGGAUUAGGUAGGGAUACCCGCUGAACUUAAGCAUAU
rnacentral:rRNA from 1 species